CGAAAAAGAUUGAAGCUACAAGUUAGAUCUCUCUGAAGUUGCAGCAGAAUGGAUUGAAGCAACAAGACACAGUGGACUGGAGUGAAGCUACUUGAAGAGAAGUGUCCAGAACAAGUCAAGAAUCGACGAAAUUGGGCAAAUUUGGUCUUUCCUAGUCUUUGCUUCAUUCCCAUUACACGACAAUGAAGCAAAGUGGGGCAACUGUACAGCCCAAAUUUCUGCCCUGGCCCAUUACCAAAAUCAAAACCCAACCUAAACAAACCCAAAAUAACCCAAACUCAACCCACCUAAACACUGGCCCAAAACCCGAAUCCCAAAUUACAAACUAGCCCAAAUAAAGAAAAACCUAGCCCAAACCCAAAAACAAAAAAGAAAGAAACAAAGAAACCCUAGCCCCUAACCCUAGCCUCUGCCGCCG
rnacentral:lncRNA from 1 species